CCUACGGGAGGCAGCAGUGGGGAAUAUUGGACAAUGGGGGCAACCCUGAUCCAGCCAUGCCGCGUGUGUGAAGAAGGCCCUCGGGUUGUAAAGCACUUUCAGUGAGGAAGAACGCCUGGUGGUUAAUACCCAUCAGGAAAGACAUCACUCACAGAAGAAGCACCGGCUAACUCCGUGCCAGCAGCCGCGGUAAUACGGAGGGUGCGAGCGUUAAUCGGAAUUACUGGGCGUAAAGCGCGCGUAGGUGGCUUGAUAAGCCGGUUGUGAAAGCCCCGGGCUCAACCUGGGAACGGCAUCCGGAACUGUCAAGCUAGAGGGCAGGAGAGGAAGGUAGAAUUCCCGGUGUAGCGGUGAAAUGCGUAGAGAUCGGGAGGAAUACCAGUGGCGAAGGCGGCCUUCUGGACUGACACUGACACUGAGGUGCGAAAGCGUGGGUAGCAAACAGGAUUAGAUACCCUGGUAGUC
rnacentral:rRNA from 1 species